GCGCCGCACAAGGAUGGAUAAGGCGAAGGGGGCGAAAGAUGCUGACGCGUGGGGGGAGAGAGUGGGAGGAGUGCGCGUACACGGGAGGCGGGAGGCGGGGCCAGGGAGGAGGAAGACAGCCGCGACGGCGACCAGUGCCGCGCCGCCGGCGGCGAGGAGAGCUCCGGGUUCACCGGAUCGAGCGUCGCCGAGGAGGGGGACACUCCACGGCGGCGGUGCUUGGGGCUCCGACGAGCGGCGACAGGAGGCGACAGGAGAAGCUCCGCGGCGACCUGAAGGCCAUCAGCCAUGGCCGUUGUGGUUUCGCGUGCGCCCGCGAGCGGCUGCACGCUGGGGGAGGCGGAGCUUGACGCAGCGCGCGAACCUAGCCUUGGUGCGAGUGCGACGGCGACGCGGCUGCUGUCCUCCCGUCCAACCCGCAGCACGUCGAGCCUCACCGGAGUUCCUCCAUGACGCCGGCAGGUGAGCAAGAGGAGGACCAUAGGUCAGGGAGUGUUUGGUUUCAGGGAGAUCGUUGGGGAGGAGUUCAUGACCAUGUUCCUGUCAGUUUUUAGCCGUAUGGUUCAGAGACUGGUUUAGGAGGAUGUAGAGAGAACGAUGUUCAAACAAUUAAGUGCAGCGUCAACAGACGUGUUCCUAAAUUUUGAUGACUAUUAGAAAGAGAGAGGAUAUGGUGACCGAAAGUCUAUGUGUUUGUGCCGUGUACGUGUCGGGCAGUGGUAGAUUAAAGAUAUUUUGUAAUUGGACUUGGCAAGGGAUAGAGACUAGCAUGAAUUUUUUUUUUGAGCAGCGAAAUGGCGCAACCCUUCGUGAUUUUUGAAGUUUGAACAGAGUUAUGAACUAUUCGCCGCCUAAUCCCUAGAUUCUUGGAGUAUCAAGAUGGUGUGGCCAUCAGGGUUCCCAUCACCAUGCAUGCCAUGCUUGAGCUCCUCAAGAACGCCACCAAGCUGGCGUGUAAUGGAUGAUGGCUGAUGCAACGAUGGAGGAGGCGUAUUGAUGUCAGUUUGAAGCAAAUCAGGAGAACGCCACCAUCGGUGAGGUUGCCAGGUGAAGGAAGCAGCGGACUGGUGGCAAGGCUUUUCUACUCACCGCCGUUUGAGUUCAUCAUCUGUCGCUACUGUACCCACUCAGUCGUAUCCAUGUUUGAUAUUCUCCAGCCCAUUCAAUAAUCCACGGUAAGUGGUUAGGAGCUACAUGGUUUCCACUUUUGCCAUGUUUUAUAUACCGAACUAAUAUUUUUUUACAUGAAACUAGAUUCCGAUCUUCUGGUCUUGCCUACUGUUUACUUAUUCAAAUUGUUUCAGUUUUCCGUUCGUGUGCAUUAGUCAUAUUAUAAGUUGUUGCACGCUGCCGCAAGCUGCCCGGAGCCACGCAACGUCUGUCCUAAAGGCACGACAUCGCUAAUAAUUCUGGCUCCACUUCCUCUAGGAAGCAUAGUCAUUGAAACCCAUAAUAUGAGAGACAGUUUAGUUGCCCGAUGGUAGGAUGCUGCUAUGGCGGAAUAAAAGGAAGAUUGUGAUUACAAGUACAUUUUGGAUAAUAGCAGGAAGGAGCUGCUGGAACUAACUAAUCUAGAAAGUAAUUUCUUGAUCUAUUUACUCACAUACACAAGUAGUUGUUGAGGUAAAGCAAUAUGCUUUUUGGGCCCAAGUAGCAUUUACAUUAAUAGUGAUUUUUGUGAGAAGAAAAAUAUUAUAGGCUGAUUCCUAUUGUUACAGUACCAACUUAUCUUAGAAACAAAGAAGCACCAAGCUGGACUGCUGGCCGAGGAGAUGCAUAUGUGGGCACUUUCUGCUGGCCAAGUUCAGAAGCAAAUUAACUGCUUGUAUUUGCAUAAGCAACAGAGAGAAAAUGUUAGAGAACUUAGCAAAAAAAUGGUACUCGAGGCUUAGAAUGUCUUGCACUUUCUGCUGUAACACAUCCACUGUUUAGUGUGUUUUAAAGCAGCUUUAUCCUAUUUUCGCUUGAACAGAAAGGAGAAAGAAAUGUCUAAGAAACUGAAGGUAUUGCUGCAGCUGAUAGGUCGCCUACUCCUUUGGAUACCAUUCAUAUCGUACUUAACUCAGUGAGCAAAUUGAGGACUACGGUUAUCUUCCAUGUCUAUGUGAAAUAAAUGCGAUAGUUUCAUAACACCAAAUGGUCCAAAGUGCAUCCAAUACAUGGUCAAGAGCACCACUGACGUUCACGAAACCGAUAAUAUUACAGGUCAGUGUAGAUAUGAGUUUUCUAAUUUUGUCAAAUGCAGCUAUGUUAUACUAACAACCCGUGUUUGCAUGUCCUAAUUUAUGUCUGCAAAAGCUGUAUCUUUUGUUGAGCUAUAUUAUAAUAUUAUGUGUAUGUACGCGCAUGUUGCACAGAGAUGCUAUUUGGCAUGCAUGAAUUCUAAUUUUAAUUUAAAGUUAGGCAUGCUUAAUCUCACACACCACAAAAUUUCCUUACUGUGUACUACAUCUUUUAUCUCCAAUUUGGAUAAUCUAAGCGAUAACUCUUUAGUCUGAUUUAAUUAUCUUCAAAAGUUUGCUAGAGGCUAUAGAUGACCUUCUGGUUUUUCUUCAAUAAUUUUUUAUAGUGCAAUUGUAUGAACUGGUUUCCCCAUCAGGGCUGUAUUUUCUUUUCUUUGAUAGAUUCUAGAGUCAUGUACUUCCGUUUCAUGUGCCCAUGUUUGCCAUUAUAUGUGCCUUUCUUGUUGAGCUCUAUUUGGAUGAACUUUUGUUAUGGGAUGUGGCUUCAUGGGCAUGAACGGACAUUUUGAUCUAACCUUGUUUGAGAUGUUCUUUUAUGCUUGCCUCAGGCACUCAGCUUUGUGUGGUUAGUGAUGACAAUCGACAGUGUCUCUGUUAAAAAUUAUUCAUAAUUACUAGGAGCAUUCCAUAAUUUGUAUCGGGCUGUUUAUUUAUUUAUUGAGGAAAGGCUUGUAUCAGGCUGUCCUGGUGGCUAUCUGGCGCGCGCGCGUUGCAGCGCUCGUUUUCGGACAGGCUCGAUUUGGAAAGUGGUUUAAAUACGUGAUUAGUUAGGGGCGGAUUAAUUAGGCGCGGCCCCCUCUGAAAAUCAGGGGGGGCGAUUAGUGUUGAUUUCAGAUGGGGCCGACUCCUCAUGCCUUCCCAGCCUUCAUACAAAGGCCUCACGUGGUGGGCCCUUAUGGAAAUUCUGGUCGGCUGAUGACUUGUCUUGGAUUGGCUUCGCUCGUUGGAGCGGUCGAGCGCUAAGGAGUCUUCUCGGUCCUGGUGUGGCUACCUAGGAAGCACAAACAGGGUUGGUCGUCACCAAAGAUGAAAACAUUGUCGAGCCUUACUUUUUGCAAGUUGCCUCACUUCUACUACUUUUAGAGGAAAGAUAGCAAUUUCAGUCAUGUUGCACGAACACUUGUAGAUCGCGGUGCAUCAAGAUCAUAAUUGCUACACUCAAAGGUUACAUCGACCUUAUUUCUGACAUUUGCAAAAAAUGUAUUAAAAAUGCUGCAUAAUGGCACAUGGAGCAAUUUAUACUUAAUAUUUCGUC